AACGAACGCUGGCGGCAGGCCUAACACAUGCAAGUCGAGCGAAGCCUUCGGGCUUAGCGGCGGACGGGCGAGUAACGCGUGGGAACGUGCCCUUUGGUACGGAAUAGCCACGGGAAACUGGGAGUAAUACCGUAUGUGGUCGAGAGACGAAAGAUUUAUCGCCAAAGGAUCGGCCCGCGUUGGAGUAGGUAGUUGGUGGGGUAAUGGCCUACCAAGCCGACGAUCCAUAGCUGGUUUGGGAGGAUGAUCAGCCACACUGGGACUGAGACACGGCCCAGACCCCUACGGGAGGCAGCAGUGGGGAAUCUUAGACAAUGGGGGAAACCCUGAUCUAGCCAUGCCGCGUGAUCGAUGAAGGCCUUAGGGUUGUAAAGAUCUUUCAGUGGGGAAGAUAAUGACUGUACCCACAGAAGAAGCCCCGGCUAACUCCGUGCCAGCCGCCGCUGUAAUAC
rnacentral:rRNA from 1 species